UACGUAGGGUGCAAGCGUUAUCCGGAUUUAUUGGGCGUAAAGGGCUCGUAGGCGGUUCGUCGCGUCCGGUGUGAAAGUCCAUCGCUUAACGGUGGAUCCGCGCCGGGUACGGGCGGGCUUGAGUGCGGUAGGGGAGACCGGAAUUCCCGGUGUAACGGUGGAAUGUGUAGAUAUCGGGAAGAACACCAAUGGCGAAGGCAGGUCUCUGGGCCGUUACUGACGCUGAGGAGCGAAAGCGUGGGGAGCGAACAGG
rnacentral:rRNA from 1 species